rnacentral:rRNA from 1 species
UGGGGAAUAUUGCACAAUGGGCGCAAGCCUGAUGCAGCCAUGCCGCGUGUGUGAAGAAGGCCUUCGGGUUGUAAAGCACUUUCAGCGGGGAGGAAGGCGGUGAGGUUAAUAACCUCAUCGAUUGACGUUACCCGCAGAAGAAGCACCGGCUAACUCCGUGCCAGCAGCCGCGGUAAUACGGAGGGUGCAAGCGUUAAUCGGAAUUACUGGGCGUAAAGCGCACGCAGGCGGUCUGUCAAGUCGGAUGUGAAAUCCCCGGGCUCAACCUGGGAACUGCAUUCGAAACUGGCAGGCUAGAGUCUUGUAGAGGGGGGAAGAAUUCCAGGUGUAGCGGUGAAAUGCGUAGAGAUCUGGAGGAAUACCGGUGGCGAAGGCGGCCCCCUGGACAAAGACUGACGCUCAGGUGCGAAAGCGUGGGGAGCAAACAGG